AGAGUAAGCUCCAGCCUCCCCUGAGGAAGUGCUGGUCAGGCGCUGGGUCCCUGGCUUCCUGUCUGUACUCUCCCUAGCCUGUGGGGAAAUCCCGAGAGCUUUGUCGGCUGCCCAACGAGCCUGUUGGCUUUUCAAGUUCCUUCACUGUGGCUUUCAGAAGCAGUCAGGAGGACGCUCAGAGCCAGAUGUGUAACUCUUUGCUGCCAGCUGCACGGGUUUCCCAUCGCCUUCCUUUUGCCUCCGGAAGCAGAGACUAAAAGCAAGAAGCAGGCUUUCAUAUAUGAAAUGCGAA
rnacentral:lncRNA from 1 species